CGGGAGAGGGUUGUGGAAUUCCCGGUGUAGAGGUGAAAUUCGUAGAUAUCGGGAGGAACAUCGGUGGCGAAGGCGGCAACCUGGACCGAUACUGACGCUGAGACGCGAAAGCGUGGGGAGCAAACAGGAUUAGAUACCCUGGUAGUCCACGCUGUAAACGAUGAACACUAGCUGCUGCGGGUAUCGACCCCUGCGGUGGCGUAGCUAACGCGUUAAGUGUUCCGCCUGGGGAGUACUGCCGCAAGGCUAAAACUC
rnacentral:rRNA from 1 species